rnacentral:lncRNA from 1 species
UCUUCAUCUUCUAACCCCAUGGCUUCGUUUGGUUCGGAUAUAAGUAAGAACUAGCUAUUACAAAGAUAGGUAUAAGUAUGAAGAUAAAAAAAAUAGUAUUUGGAUAAAAAUUGAGUUAUUUAUGGGGAUAAAAAAAAUAAUAUUUGAAUAGAUAAUAUGGAAUAAGAAAAAUAGUGGGUACGUAAUUAUAUAUAGAAAAUGGAGAUGUUGGUGGGAAUAGUUAUACCAACUUAUUUCAGAUACUCGAGAACUAUUAUUUUCGAGUAAAAAAUUUCUGUUUGGGUAUAAAAGAGGAUAAGGGAUUAUCCCUCCCCUUAUUCCUAAUCCAAACAGAACUCGGAAGUAAGUAAAACUUUAGCUUUUGAUUAUAAGUUCUAACUACGAAGUUAAGAUAUAGUUUAUUCUAACAGUGGAUGUGUUUGAUUCGAAAUCGAAAUUGGUAUCGAAAUCGGAAUGAUAAUAAACUAAUUAGCCAAAAAUGUGAAUAAUUAAGCUUCAAACUUGGGAUCUCGAUGACCAACUAUUAAGCCCUUUAUCACUUGCGCUAGAGACCUCGAAUAUCAACCACCAAGCAAUAUAAAAUAAUAAUAAUAACUGGCAUUUAAUUAACAUUGCCAAAUAGGUAUAACCAA